rnacentral:rRNA from 1 species
AUUGAACGCUGGCGGCAUGCCUUACACAUGCAAGUCGAACGGUAACAGGUCUUCGGAUGCUGACGAGUGGCGAACGGGUGAGUAAUACAUCGGAACGUGCCUAGUAGUGGGGGAUAACUACUCGAAAGAGUGGCUAAUACCGCAUGAGAUCUACGGAUGAAAGCAGGGGAUCGAAAGACCUUGUGCUACUAGAGCGGCCGAUGGCAGAUUAGGUAGUUGGUGGGAUAAAAGCUUACCAAGCCGACGAUCUGUAGCUGGUCUGAGAGGACGAUCAGCCACACUGGGACUGAGACACGGCCCAGACUCCUACGGGAGGCAGCAGUGGGGAAUUUUGGACAAUGGGCGAAAGCCUGAUCCAGCAAUGCCGCGUGCAGGAUGAAGGCCUUCGGGUUGUAAACUGCUUUUGUACGGAACGAAAAGCCCUGGGUUAAUACCCUGGGGUCAUGACGGUACCGUAAGAAUAAGCACCGGCUAGCUACGUGCCAGCCGCCGCCGUAACAC